rnacentral:rRNA from 1 species
CAGUCGCCGCGGUAAUACGAAGGGGGCUAGCGUUGCUCGGAAUGACUGGGCGUAAAGGGCGCGUAGGCGGUUUUCCAAGUUAGAUGUGAAAUUCCUGGGCUCAACCUGGGGGCUGCAUUUGAUACUGGGAGGCUUGAGUAUGGAAGAGGGUCGUGGAAUUCCCAGUGUAGAGGUGAAAUUCGUAGAUAUUGGGAAGAACACCGGUGGCGAAGGCGGCGACCUGGUCCAUAACUGACGCUGAGGCGCGAAAGCGUGGGGAGCAAACAGGAUUAGAUACCCCUGUAGUCCCUGUCUCUUAUAC